rnacentral:rRNA from 1 species
GACGAACGCUGGCGGCGUGCUUAACACAUGCAAGUCGAACGGAAAGGCCCUGCUUUUGUGGGGUGCUCGAGUGGCGAACGGGUGAGUAACACGUGAGUAACCUGCCCUUGACUUUGGGAUAACUUCAGGAAACUGGGGCUAAUACCGGAUAGGAGCUCCUGCUGCAUGGUGGGGGUUGGAAAGUUUCGGCGGUUGGGGAUGGACUCGCGGCUUAUCCGCUUGUUUGUGGGGUAGUGGCUUACCAAGGCUUUGACGGGUAGCCGGCCUGAGAGGGUGACCGGCCACAAUGGGACUGAGAUACGGCCCAGAAGGCUACGGGAGGCAGCAGGGGGGAAUAUGGCAGAAUGGGCGGAAGCCUGAUGCAGCAACGCCGCGUGCGGGAUGACGGCCUUCGGGUUGUAAACCGCUUUCGCCUGUGACGAAGCGUGAGUGACGGUAAUGGGUAAAGAAGCACCGGCUAACUACGUG